UACGUAGGGUGCAAGCGUUGUCCGGAAUUAUUGGGCGUAAAGAGCUCGUAGGCGGUCUGUCGCGUCUGCUGUGAAAACCUAGGGCUUAACUCUGGGCGUGCAGUGGGUACGGGCAGGCUAGAGUGCGGUAGGGGAGACUGGAAUUCCUGGUGUAGCGGUGAAAUGCGCAGAUAUCAGGAGGAACACCGAUGGCGAAGGCAGGUCUCUGGGCAUUAACUGACGCUGAGGAGCGAAAGCAUGGGGAGCGAACAGGAUAGAU
rnacentral:rRNA from 1 species